AUUGAACGCUGGCGGCAGGCCUAACACAUGCAAGUCGAGCGAGCGGCGGACGGGUGAGUAAUGUCUGGGAAACUGCCUGAUGGAGGGGGAUAACUACUGGAAACGGUAGCUAAUACCGCAUACCAUCAGAUGUGCCCAGGUUGGAUUGGCUCGUAGGUGGGGUAACGGCGCACCUUGGCGACGAUCCCGAGCUGGUCUGAGAGGAUGACCAGCCAAACGGGAACAGAGGCACGGUCCAGACUCCUACGGGAGGCAGCAGUGGGGAAUAUUGCACAAUGGGCGCAAGCCUGAUGCAGCCAGGCCGCGUGUGUGAAGAAGGCCUUCGGGUUGUAAAGCACUUUCAGCGUGGAGGCGUUACCCGCAGAAGAAGCACCGGCUAACUCCGUGCCAGCAGCCGCGGUAAUUC
rnacentral:rRNA from 1 species